rnacentral:rRNA from 1 species
UACAGAGGUCUCAAGCGUUGUUCGGAAUCACUGGGCGUAAAGGGUGCGUAGGCCGCACGGUAAGUCAGAGGUGAAAUCCCGGAGCUCAACUUCGGAAUGGCCUCCGAUACUGCCGUGCUUGAGGACUGGAGAGGAGUCUGGAAUUCACAGUGGAGCAGUGAAAUGCGUAGAUAUUGUGAGGAACACUAGUGGCGAAGGCGAGACUCUGGACAGUUCCUGACGCUGAGGCACGAAGGCCAGGGGAGCGAACGGG